UGAGGAAUAUUGGUCAAUGGACGCAAGUCUGAACCAGCCAAGUAGCGUGCAGGAUGACGGCCCUAUGGGUUGUAAACUGCUUUUGUAUGGGGAUAAAGUUAGGGACGUGUCCCUAUUUGCAGGUACCAUACGAAUAAGGACUGGCUAAUUCCGUGCCAGCAGCCGCGGUAAUACGGAAGGUCCAGGCGUUAUCCGGAUUUAUUGGGUUUAAAGGGAGCGUAGGCUGGAGAUUAAGUGUGUUGUGAAAUGUAGACGCUCAACGUCUGAAUUGCAGCGCAUACUGGUUUCCUUGAGUACGCACAACGUUGGCGGAAUUCGUCGUGUAGCGGUGAAAUGCUUAGAUAUGACGAAGAACUCCGAUUGCGAAGGCAGCUGACGGGAGCGCAACUGACGCUUAAGCUCGAAGGUGCGGGUAUCAAACAGG
rnacentral:rRNA from 1 species